UCACUGAUAAAUCAAGAGAGCUGCAGACACACCUGAGCAAAGGGGUGCUCGCAUGAGGCCUCUCCUGAAAGGUAUGGAACUAUCAAUGAUGAUGGUUCAGCAGACGGGCUGGUGCAGUGUAGUGCCACCAUUCAGACACAGAUCAUCUGCAGUUGCAGUCUGAGGCCAUGAGCCGAUGAUGAACACAGACACUCUGCUGGUUCAGGAGUUCUCCGGUGCUAUGAAUACUACCAACUUGUCCUUCGUCCUGGGACGUUCCGGCUGUGUCACAAAGCUACUGAGUCCAUCAGCACCACUGCUUGUACCAUCUGGCCCACAAACUGUGGAGUAGAGGCCAGGCCUGGAACUGAAGCCCCCCUCAGAGCUGGGGCAUUCUGUGGCGCUAUUUUGUCUUGGCAGCAGAGCCUAUCUUCAUGUUCAGUACUGGCAUCUGCCAGUGCCUCUCCAAGUUCCAGCAUCUUUAAACACAAGAGUUUGCCUGCCUGCUAGGGGACUGAACUGUGAUUACUUUCAAGAUGAUUGUGACUGAGGAGGACAUAUUCAAAAAUCAACCUAUCCCUGAAGAAAGAAACUGAAUUUCUGCUGCUGAUGCGAGAUUCAUUUCAUGGCCUGGCUGGUGAGUUGGCCCACUGGCUCACAGAACCCUUAUCCAUGGGACACUGUGGGUCAAGUGUUUAGCACUCCACUAAUUCAUCCACAGUAACCUGCAAAAAUGAGCAUUUACACAAGGAAAACAUGCUAUUGUACCUUGGUCCUUUUGUGUGUCUGUGUAAUUACGCAGUUUGUGUUCAUGAAGGUGGGUUGUUUGCUCCAUAAAAUGUUUUGGGUUUUCUUCCAUAGUUCCUGUGAACAUUUAACCCUAUAUAAUAUGCUGAAACUUUAUACAAAAUGGUUGUGAAAUACAGUAUUGUUAAAAACUAUGUUUAAAUAGAUUUGGCUUCAAAACACACAUAUUGCCAACCUCUGUGUAAAAUUUUCUGCUGGUAUGUAUAUAAAUCUAAAUGCCCUCUCGUCACAACAUUCUGAGUAAUGGCUAAUUAUGUAGUCGGGGUUACUGUCACUGUUUGAAAGGAUGAAAACAGCUAUUGUAAAGUAUUAAUGCCAC